rnacentral:ncRNA from 1 species
GCAGGUUCUCGGGGCGGGGCGAAAUUCCCCACCGGCGGUAAGCGCGGUUUGUGCGCAAGCCCGCGAGCGCCCGGUUCGCAAGGACCGGGGUCAGCAGAUCCGGUGCAACUCCGGAGCCGACGGUUAGAGUCCGGAUGAAAGAGAACAGUC